rnacentral:misc_RNA from 1 species
CUGAGUGAGGGCUCCGUGCCCGACCUCCUACCCCUUGUUGAAAUACCAUGUUGCCUCGGGGGCGACCCGGCCCUUUGGGUGUGGGGCCCCCGAUGGACCAGAUAAACUCUUGCGUUUUGGCGUCUGAGUCUUAAGCAAAUCGAUUA